rnacentral:rRNA from 1 species
CUUAAAUGAAUUGACGGGGAGCACCGCAACGGGAGGAGCGUGCGGUUCAAUUGGAUUCAACACCGGACAACUCACCAGGAGCGACGGUUACAUGAAGGCCAGGCUGAUGACCUUGCCUGAUUUUCCGAGAGGUGGUGCAUGGCCGUCGUCAGUUCGUACCGUAAGGCGUUCUCUUAAGUGAGAUAACGAACGAGACCCUCACCGUUAAUUGCUAGUGUUCUCUCCGGAGGGCACGCACAUUAACGGGACCGCUGUCGCCAAGACAGAGGAAGGGGAGGUCAACGGUAGGUCCGUAUGCCCCGAAUCUCCUGGGCUACACGCGCGCUACAAAGGUUGGGACAAUGGGCUCCGACAUCGAAAGGUGAAGGCAAUCUCGAAACCCAAUCGUAGUUCGGAUUGAGGGUUGUAACUCACCCUCAUGAAGCUGGAUUCCGUAGUAAUCGCGGAUCAACAAUCCGCGGUGAAUAUGCCCCUGCUCCUU